GGGUUGUGAGGUUAAGCGACUAAGCGUACACGGUGGAUGCCCUGGCAGUCAGAGGCGAUGAAGGGCGUGCUAAUCUGCGAUAAGCGCCGGUAAGGUGAUAUGAACCGUUAUAACCGGCGAUACCCGAAUGGGGAAACCCAGUGUGAUUCGUCA
rnacentral:rRNA from 4 species